GGCUCCAUAGUUUAGUCGGCAAAACACUUGACUUGUAAUCAUGAAUCAUCGGUUCGAUUCCGAUUGGAGCCUCCA
rnacentral:tRNA from 1 species